rnacentral:rRNA from 6 species
CGGGCGUUAAGUUGCAGGGUAUAGACCCGAAACCCGGUGAUCUAGCCAUGGGCAGGUUGAAGGUUGGGUAACACUAACUGGAGGACCGAACCGACUAAUGUUGAAAAAUUAGCGGAUGACCUGUGGCUGGGGGUGAAAGGCCAAUCAAACCGGGAGAUAGCUGGUUCUCCCCGAAAGCUAUUUAGGUAGCGCCUCGUGAAUUCAUCUCCGGGGGUAGAGCACUGUUUCGGCUAGGGGGCCAUCCCGGCUUACCAACCCGAUGCAAACUGCGAAUACCGGAGAAUGUUAUCACGGGAGACACACGGCGGGUGCUAACGUCCGUCGUGAAGAGGGAAACAACCCAGACCGCCAGCUAAGGUCCCAAAGUCAUGGUUAAGUGGGAAACGAUGUGGGAAGGCCCAGACAGCCAGGAUGUUGGCUUAGAAGCAGCCAUCAUUUAAAGAAAGCGUAAUAGCUCACUGGUCGAGUCGGCCUGCGCGGAAGAUGUAACGGGGCUAAACCAU